rnacentral:tRNA from 1 species
GCUGUAGCUCAGUGGCAGAGCACUUGCUUUGCAUGUGUGAGGCACUGGGUUCGAUCCUUAGCACUGCA